rnacentral:rRNA from 1 species
GAUGAACGCUGGCGGCGUGCCUAACACAUGCAAGUCGAACGAAGCUUGACGGAUGAUUUCUUCGGAAUGAAACCAGAUAUGACUUAGUGGCGGACGGGUGAGUAACACGUGAGCAACCUGCCUUUCAGAGGGGGAUAACGGCUGGAAACGGUCGCUAAUACCGCAUGAUGUGUUCGGAUGGCAUCAUCUGAACAUCAAAGAUUUAUCGCUGAAAGAUGGGCUCGCGUCUGAUUAGAUAGUUGGUGGGGUAACGGCCUACCAAGUCUACGAUCAGUAGCCGGACUGAGAGGAGGAACGGCCACAUUGGGACUGGGAUACGGCCCAGACUCCUACGGGAGGCAGCAGUGGGGAAUAUUGCACAAUGGGGGAAACCCUGAUGCAGCAACGCCGCGUGAAGGAUGACGGUUUUCGGAGUGUAAACUUCUUUUCUUAGUGACGAAGACAGUGACGGUAGCUAAGGAAUAAGCAUCGGCUAACUACGUG